UUUUCUUGUAAUGCCGUUUUUUUUUUGAAACUUCAUCCCCAGGAUAAGGGCGUCACUGGCUAGGCCAGCAUUUAUUACCCAUCGGGCAGUUAAGAGUCAACUACGUUGCUGUGGGUCUGGAGUCACAAGUAGGCCAGACCAGAUUACCUCAGGUCUAUUUCUUGAUCUUCACUGCUGCUACCAUUUUCAAGACAGUGUAUCCUGCAGCUGCCACCAUCUUUUAGCACAUUGUUUGAUGCCACCCUGUGAGUUUGGGUUUAAGACAGACCAGUCGAGGAAUAAGUAAAGUCAAGAACUGAUUUCAGGCUCAGGCUUCAAGGUUUCCACAAGCCUUCGAGUCCACAAAAAUGAAGAAAUAUGAAGAAUCUUCAUAACACCAACAACGUUGAAAAGAAGUGAGAUGCCAUUUUCCAAUACAUUGCAUUACAUCGUGUGGACAAGAAUAAAAUAUAUUUUAAAACAUUAA